rnacentral:rRNA from 1 species
UACGUAGGGUGCGAGCGUUAAUCGGAAUUACUGGGCGUAAAGCGUGCGCAGGCGGUUUUGUAAGCCUGAUGUGAAAUCCCCGGGCUUAACCUGGGAAUGGCAUUUGGGACUGCAAGGCUGGAGUUUGGCAGAGGAGACUGGAAUUCCCGGUGUAGCAGUGAAAUGCGUAGAUAUCGGGAGGAAUACCGAUGGCGAAGGCAGGUCUCUGGGCUAUAACUGACGCUCAUGCACGAAAGCGUGGGGAGCAAACAGG